rnacentral:misc_RNA from 1 species
AGAGAGAGAGAGAGAGAGACUUUUUUUUUCAUUAAACUUGUUAUUGAUUUUAAACAAACUUUAUUGUUUUCUGUCCUAAUGACGAUGGCAACUGCCAACUUGCAUUGAUGGCGCAUUGCACCAUGUUUACAUGAACACAUUUUCCGCAAGGAAACUACUGUCUUUUGGUUUUCAGACUUCAGUGAUAUGAAGAAAGAGGCCCUAUUUACCUGUUACAUUGUAAAAUAGUAAGAGUGUGGUAGUUUACAUGCUUUUCUCGAAAGAUAAUAUUGAGGAAUAGGUUGAUAGUACAGAUGAUAAAGCUUUGAGUUGCCUUUAAAAUCAGUUAUAUUUACACUUUUUUUCUAACCUUUUCAUGGGUUGGACUACUUACUACAUUUGCAAAUUUACAUUUGAUGAAUCAGCUCCUGCUUUGUUUGUAAUAAUUUUGGUCCAUAACAUAACCGCUUAGAGUAAACAAUUAUUCUGGAGCACAGCUUUUUCUGAUAUGGGAUACAAGUUUAUGCUAUUUCUUUUGGGUUCAGUACUAAAAUAAAAAUUCAUAACCUUGCAUGUAUUUCUUUUUUUUUUCACGGUUACUAUAUUGCUCUUUUUAUUUGUUAGGUGGGCUAUUGUAUAUCUUGCACAGAUGAAACCACUUAUUGUUCCAAUUUUAAAUGAAGGAGAGUGAAGUUGUUCCCGGAAAAGCAUAUUAGGACCAUAUGGAUAAAGCAGGAAAUGUCUCGUGCAUUGGUUGCCAGAGAAUAUCUAAGUAGGACUUAUGGAUG